rnacentral:rRNA from 1 species
AACCCUUGACAUCCCGGUCGCGAUUUCCAGAGAUGGAUUUCUUCAGUUCGGCUGGACCGGAGACAGGUGUUGCAUGGCUGUCGUCAGCUCGUGUCGUGAGAUGUUGGGUUAAGUCCCGCAACGAGCGCAACCCUCGCCUUUAGUUGCCAUCAUUAAGUUGGGCACUCUAGAGGGACUGCCGGUGAUAAGCCGGAGGAAGGUGGGGAUGACGUCAAGUCCUCAUGGCCCUUAUGGGUUGGGCUACACACGUGCUACAAUGGCGGCGACAAUGGGCAGCGAAGGGGCGACCCGGAGCAAAUCCUAAAAAGCCGUCUCAGUUCGGAUUGCACUCUGCAACUCGGGUGCAUGAAGGUGGAAUCGCUAGUAAUCGCGUAACAGCAUGACGCGGUGAAUACGUUCCCGGGCCU